rnacentral:lncRNA from 1 species
GUAACCGUUCACCCAUAGCUGUCUUACACACUGAAGAUGUGGUCAGAUUGCCAAAAACAUGCUUUAGUCUAGUAGAAACAGGAAGCUCUCUUGUCAUUUUCAAACCUCUGAUAUUUUAUCAGUACUGCAUGCAGGAGUGAGAUAUGUUUUUGAGUCGGAUUCAGUGAGAAUCACUUUGAGAUUGGAAAAGAGCUAUUAUGUAUUUGUGAACAAGUACUUUCUCUGAAUUUACUGCCCUUGUUCUUGUUUCUUUUUUCUUGUCAUGAGAUAUGUUUUUGAGUCGGAUUCAGUGAGAAUCACUUUGAGAUUGGAAAAGAGCUAUUAUGUAUUUGUGAACAAGUACUUUCUCUGAAUUUACUGCCCUUGUUCUUGUUCUUUUUUUCUGCAUGAACACAUACAUAAGGUGGUGUGAUCAUGCAGUAGCACUGGUGCAGCAGUUCCUGGCAUGAGGAUCAACAUCAUUAUCAGAUGCAUGUAUCCUCCAUGGACCUUACCUACUUUGUCUGAGCCAAUCCCUUUGAGAAGGCUUGUUGUGGCAUCAGAGGAGUGGGGAAAUGAACCUGAUUUAUAGUGGACCUCAAAGGGAACCUACCCUAAAUUUGUCUGGGAACGCAGCUGCAGCCUAUGCUGAUGCCUACUGUCAUCCAUAACAUUUCCAAAAAGUCCCACAGAAUAUUUCUGAGCUCCAUCCAAAAAUCUACUGCACGGCAGGAUUGUAAUGCAUCAUAGGUGCACUCCUGAUGUAAUGCAUGCUUCUACAAGUAGAGUCAUCUCAGGCAUUGGAAAAAACAAGCAACACCACCACCAUCUGUCACUGGAACUGUACAUGUAUAAAGGACCCUCUUUUGGCAACUGGUAGACUGCCAACUUCAGCUUACCCAGAGGAGACUACA